GUUCCCUUCUCCAGGGGAUCUUCCUAACUGAGGGAUCGAACCCAGGUUUCCUGCAUUGCAGGCAGAUUUUUCACCAUCUAUCUUUCUACACAUUUAUUAGGAAAAAAAAAGUUAUUUAUUGUAAAUGAAAAACUUCCAGUUGGUUCAUCAGGGUUUCACAAUUACUGCUGAGGAGAGAGUAACAUUAAGGAUUAAAAACACUCUCCCUACAGCUAGAACGGUAGACUUAAAAGGGCUGCAUAGACUCAGCUGUCAAAUGUAGGUAAUCUUUGAGCUGUCUCUGCAGCCAGAGGAGAUAGUACCCUCUGUGGAAAUCAGUACCUUUUGAACGACUGAAGAGUCCCACCUUGAGGCCAAGUGCUGAAAGGCAGUGUAACAAUUGUGCAGGGUUUGAGCACUGCAUGCUAUGGAUGAAGAAUAAGCAUGUGUGAAACUAAAUUUAUCUCACUGUGAUGACAAAGAAUGGCCUAGACUGAGGGAUGCAUCCUCAAAUUCAGCAGAGCCUUAAACACUUACCUCUAGCUGUAGUUUGAUCAUUUCAUUUUGUUUUUCCCUUUCUUGAGUUCUUAACUUUGCAUUUAACUCGGAAAUUUCCAACUCCUUUUUUUCUAUCAGUUCUUUAUUCUUUUCUUCACUUGAUAUGACUGAAUAAAAAAAAUUCACCUUAACAUUUCAAAAAUCUUAAAAGAUUACUUUUUUGUAUUUAAAAAAAAUGACAAGAAAAUACUAUUUAUUAAUAAAAACGUAUUUUAGAAACUGUUUAUGUGCAGGGUAGCUUUUAUAUAUUUUUAACAAGUCACUUAAAAAUGACUGAAACAAAAGGGCUGCCCAUUGAAUGCUUUUGAAUGAGUAAACUAAUUUGUACUCUUAAAUAUCUAGAGAAUAAUGUUCUCUGAAUGCCUGGAGAAUAGGAGAUUUAUUGGUUAAAGAGAGACACAAAGCCUGGGUUCCUAUGUAUAGAGGGCUUCACAUCACAGGAUGACUAGAGCUAUACCAGCUUGUUCUGGCUCCCUCCCUAUUUCCCUUCAUAGGCAUUUUUGUCCAAUAAAUUUCUUUGAAUUUCUAUUCCCAUCUCGGUGGUUCCUUGGAGGAUCUGAAUCAGCACAAGAAACAGUUAGGAUGGGCACUGACCACUUUGUGAGGAAGAGGACGCCAUCAUCAGUGGUAUGUGGAGGACUGCGAGUUCCUAGUACAACACAGGGGUCUGAUUACUCAAGAUUUUGUUGUUGUUGUUUAGUCGCUAAGUCAUGUCCAAAUCUUUUAUGACCCCAUGGAGUGUAGCCUGCCAGGCUCCUCUGUCCAUGGGAUUUCCCAGGCAAGAAUACUUGAGUAGGUAGCCAUUUCCUUCUCCAGAGGAUCCUCCCAGCCUAGGGAUUGAACCCGCCUCUCCUGCAUUGGUAGGCGGAUUCUUUACCACUGAGUCACCAGGGAGGCCCACUGAAGGUUUUAUCAGCAGUUAUCUGGGAAAAUGUCCUGGUGGAGGUGAAUGCCUUGUAGGUAUAAUAGUUCAGGCAUUUGAAAGAUGAGAGAAACAAGGCCCAUAAAGACAGGAGAGUUAUUUAUCGCUAAAUUAAAUUGACCUCCUGUGUGUGCAUGCUCAGCUGGUUCAGUCGUAUCUGACUCUUUGUGACCCCAUGGACCACCAGGGUCCUCUGAAUCUGGGAUUCUCCAGGCAAGAAUACUGGAGGUGAGUUGCCGUGCCUUCCUCUGGGGGAAUCUUCCCAACCCAGGAAUCGAGCCCGUGUCUCUUACAUCUACCUGCAUUGGGAUAAUAAGAAACAGAGCUCUUAGAAGGUAAAGAUUUAAAGAACAGGUGUGAGAGUCAGACGGUCUCUUUGGAAGCCCACAGACAGGCUCUUACGAACCCUAGUGGAAGCGCAGGCACAGCUGAGCAACAGAAUCUAAUCAUUUAAGUUGAAGAACUUCAGAGAGGUUUAAAUGCUCAGCCGAAACAGGUGUGCCAUGCUAAAUUAGGAUCCUGGUUGGAAACACCUAAUAUCCUAAAAAAUACGACAGGGAUAUCUGGAUCAAUGCCAAUGAGGAAACUGCUUUGACAGCUCCCCUAAAUGCUCAGAAUUGGCAGAAGUGACCUACCUUUUCCUAGUAAGAGCUAACCCUUAGCUUAACUGAUGAAAGAUGCUGCAGAGGCUCCUCUCCAAAGCUGCUCCCGCCUCCUCUUUUGGUGGCUAGGCCAAUAACUAGGGUUAAAGCUCAGUAUCACCUGGCUGGGGGAGUACUGGGGCUGGUAAGCGGGGAAAGUGAAUACACCCCAAAGAGCUGCAAGAACUAGCUAGGCUGUAUUGGGAAGAGCCAUGUGAAUACCCUUGACAAGGCACUUUGAGGGUACUGGAUAGAAGAUGACAGAAAUUAAGACUAGGUAAGCAAGAAUUCACGGACUUGAAGAUAUUCUUUAGGGUCAGGGGACAUAAUACCCUAGCAAGGACCCAGGAUACGGGGCAAAUUCUGUUGGAGUAGCCUUAGACCUCUAGAGAAAGCACUGGCCAAAACAGAGUGAAGUGGCAACACCUGAGAUGCCCUGGCAGCUAGCAAGAAAGGUAUAAGGAGGCUCUCAAAAGUUGGCAUUCUUGAGUAGAUGUAUCUUGUGAGGCAAGAAAAUGCACCAAAGGAUUAUGUUCCUUAGGAGAACACAGAAGACACACUAUUAAUCAAGCCACAGGGAAUGUGCUGGUGAGAGACAAACCAGCAUCACCAAGAAGUUCAACUUUCACUUGUAUCUGCAAGCUAGAACCAAGGUUUUGAUCUAGAACCUGCUGGCUGAAAAUACACAAUUAGGUCCCUAGGAGGAAGAACACUUCAACAACCCCUCUUCUAGGUUUCUCCUGAGGAAGAAACGUCCACAGAAGUAUGGAGAACCUGCUGCCUGAACUCCUAUGGAGAAGGAGCUGCAGGUUUCCCUGGUAACUGAUGAGCCACGCUGACGUCAUUGGCCCCGUAAGUGGUGCAUCCUCCUCUGCUUCGGGUCGUGAAGGUUCCUGCCGUCGUUAGUCCGCCACCGCCAGCCACAGUGGGGUGUAGUUCCAUGACCUUUCGCUUCAGACAGAACCUUAAGUACAGCAGGAGUAGAAGACAGCAUUGUGGGAAACCAUAAAGGAUUGCUUGAUGGGCAGAUGUAUAUGUGUAGGAGUGGCAAGAGGCUAAUUCAAAGGGGAAAGAAUGCAAAUACUCCAUGGCCACGCCAUCUUGGAAUCUCUCUAGG